GACGAACGUUGGCGGCGUGCUUAAUACAUGCAAGUCCACUGAAGCAGUGGUAGCAAUAUCGCUGUGGAGGUGGCGCACGGGUGAGUAACACGUAGGUAAUCUGCCUUCAGGUCUGGCAUAACUCCGGGAAACCGGGGCUAAUAGCAGAUGAUGCAGCGGCUCGACAUCGAGACAGUUGUUAAAGCUAUGGCGCCUGAAGAUGAGCCUGCGUCUGAUUAGCUAGUUGGCGGGGUAACGGCCCACCAAGGCAACGAUCAGUAGCUGGUCUGAGAGGAUGAUCAGCCACACUGGAACUGAGACACGGUCCAGACUCCUACGGGAGGCAGCAGUAAUGAAUAUUGCUCAAUGGGAGAAAUCCUGAAGCAGCAACGCCGCGUGAGGGACGAAGGGCUUUUGCUUGUAAACCUCUGUAGUGAGAGAAAAAAAUCCCAAUCUUUGGGACAUGAUGGUAUCUCAAAAGUAAGCCCCGGCUAACUACGUG
rnacentral:rRNA from 1 species